UGGUUCUUAGACUUUUACCACAAAUACGGCCCUGUGUAAUUUAAUUUUCAUGGCUCCACUUUCAGUUCUUGGAAGAAAUGCAGCCGUACAAUCUUCUCUUUAUUAAAAUUCCAAGAUAUUGAUGUUAGACGAGAGAGACUUGGUUACUAAUUAAUGCUUGUAGGAGCAAAGACCUAUCCAUCACCUUCACUUCACUCGGCUCGGUGAGGAUAAGCCUUUCAACUUUUUCAUUGACGCAUGGAAUGUAAAUUGUCCCUGUUGUAUUGCUCUCACCAACGAAAUUUCACUUUCAAUGGUAGGUAUUUGCAGAAACCCUUCACCCCAUAAAUAAAUUUUCCUUUUAUUUUUUUUU
rnacentral:lncRNA from 1 species